AUCCAGGGAUGGGAAUCGAACCCACAGUGUUCCGCUUACCAGGCAGAUGCAUGUCCGCUAGGCUACCCUGGA